CGAAAGCCUGACGGAGCAAGACCGCGUGAGGGAGGAAGGCUCUUGGGUUGUAAACCUCUUUUCUCAGGGAAGAAGCUCUGACGGUACCUGAGGAAUCAGCCUCGGCUAACUCCGUGCCAGCAGCCGCGGUAAUACGGAGGAGGCAAGCGUUAUCCGGAUUUAUUGGGCGUAAAGCGUCCGCAGGUGGCAAUUCAAGUCUGCUGUCAAAGCACGGGGCUUAACUCCGUAAAGGCAGUAGAUACUGAAGGACUAGAGUGCGGUAGGGGCAGAGGGAAUUCCCGGUGUAGCGGUGAAAUGCGUAGAUAUCGGGAAGAACACCAGUGGCGAAAGCGCUCUACUGGACGGCAACUGACACUCAGGGACGAAAGCUAGGGGAGCG
rnacentral:rRNA from 1 species